AGUCUGUUGCUGCUCUCUCCAAAGCUCUCCGUCAGCGAUUUCUGUUUCUCUUCUUUACUGCGUGCGAUUGCCCCAUCAGCGGAUUCUCCCAAAAACGGCGCUCGAAGUUUGCUGUCAGUCGUUACAGCCUCCGCUUUCUCCAUCCGAUUGAUUUGUGUUUCAUUAUUGGUAGUGCAACCCAGGGCGUAAUUAUACAAUGGUGAGGCAGAGAGAGGCAAUCGAAGAGCCUGAGAUAGAAGAGGAAUGCGAAAGACAAUCUGCUGAAGCUCGCAGUCACACGGAAAAUGAGGGUGGAUCAGGGAACAAUUCUGAUAAAGACAAAGGUAUUGAAAUUUGGUUACCUUUUGUUAUGAAAUUGCUACUUUAUGACUUGACAGCACACAAAGUGGAAGGCUUCUUGCAACUAGAUAUGACAUUGUGGUUGAAAAACUGAAAAUCUUUUUUAUACAGUUUUUGGAGCACAAGUGUGUGAGCUAUGGACGGAUGCUGAGAAAAGCUAUACCUGAACACCUUGAAUUCAAGUGGAAAACAGAAGGCAUUACCAACGAUUGUGGAGUGUUCGCUAUGCGACAUAUGGAGACGUAUAUGGGGACUAAAGUUAAUGAUUGGAAGUGCGCCCUUACUAACAAGCCGUCCAAGUCAUUCCAGUUGCUCCGUGCGAAAUUCCUUACAGCUAUGGUUUAUAGUAAUGAAAACAAGUUCGUGAUUACAUGAUGAGAAUAGCAACAAGCCACCUUGAAGAGGCACGAAAGAAGGGACCCGUUGAUGUUGAAAAGAUGGCGGCAGAGUACCCCAAACCUUGAAUAGUGUAUGAUUUUGUUUUAGAAAAAUGGCAAUAACUUUGUUUUGUUUUGAAUUUGAUAGGAAUAUUGGUUUGUUUUGGUGUAGUCAUUGGUGGGUUUAGAAUUUCU